rnacentral:rRNA from 1 species
UACGAAGGGGGCUAGCGUUGCUCGGAAUCACUGGGCGUAAAGCGCACGUAGGCGGAUUGUUAAGUCAGGGGUGAAAUCCUGGAGCUCAACUCCAGAACUGCCUUUGAUACUGGCGAUCUCGAGUCCGGGAGAGGUGAGUGGAACUGCGAGUGUAGAGGUGAAAUUCGUAGAUAUUCGCAAGAACACCAGUGGCGAAGGCGGCUCACUGGCUCGGUACUGACGCUGAGGUGCGAAAGCGUGGGGAGCAACCAGG